rnacentral:lncRNA from 1 species
GAAAUCCGGGCAUGGCCUUGUUUGGUGUGUCUGGCUCAGAGUUUCUCAUGAAAAUGGUGUCGGCAGGGGCUGCAGUCUUCUUCUGGCUUGACUUGGGGAUGAUCUACUUUCAGACUCGCUUCCGUGGCUGUUGGGCCGCUCAGGUCCUCUCCAGCUCUUGGCCAGAGAUGUCCAUUCCUUGCCACGUGGGCGGCUAUCCACCUGGCUGCUAGCUUCUCCCAGAGUCGUGAGGUUUCCAACAGAAAGAGGAUGAGAGAGAGAGAGACAGCUAGACCUAGGCUACCUUCGUUUUGUUACCUGGCCUUAGAAAAGAUGUGCCACCAUUUUUUUUGCCAUAUUCAGUUGUUAGAUAUGAGUCAGUAGGUCCAGCCCAGCCUCAGGGGAAGGGCAUUACUCAAGGACCCAAAUCCUGGGCGGAGAGUUCAUGGGGAGCCUUCGAGCACAGACAGGAUGAGAUGGCCAAGGAAGAAACCCUCUGCACUCUCUGCUGUCUCAACCAGCGGUCCAUCGACUAGCACCAUCUGACCUGUUGAGGGCUCGAUCGAAAUGUAGAAUCUCAGGCCCCAUCCCACCCAGACCUACUGAAUUUGAGUCUGCAUUUCACAGGGUCCAGAGUUUCCUUGUGUGCAUCUCAGAGUCGGAAGGGUUGUAGUCUACAGGAUCUUCACACAUCGAAUCUGAACAGAAACCAACUUUAAACUGAUCAUCACACGUGAGCAUCCUUACCUCGGAGCAGACGGUGAUAAGAUUUGAUGGAGAACACCUGCUUUUCUUGGUCAUCUGCUAGAGAAAAAUCUGUUUCCUCUUGCCGUUGGAUUUGCAGCUCAUCAGAAGGGGCUGUCAGAUUUCUCCUUCUUCCCCCAACCAAGAUGUGGGAGAGUGACGCGUCUGCACGAAGAAAAGGACAACGUGGAGACCUGGGAAAGUGGGACCAUAGCACGCACUAUGGAUCGACAGAGAUUUGAGCUGGAAAACUAUUGGCCUAUAGCAAGGAUGCUAAAAG